rnacentral:rRNA from 1 species
UACGGGGGGAGCAAGCGUUGUUCGGAUUUACUGGGCGUAAAGGGCGCGUAGGCGGUCGUGACAAGUCACUUGUGAAAUCUCCGGGCUUAACUCGGAAAGGUCAACUGAUACUGUGCGGCUAGAGUGCGGAAGGGGCAACUGGAAUUCUUGGUGUAGCGGUGAAAUGCGUAGAUAUCAAGAGGAACACCUGCGGCGAAGGCGGGUUGCUGGGCCGACACUGACGCUGAGGCGCGAAAGCCAGGGGAGCGAACGGG